GUAGUCAGAGCCCGUUAAUGGGUGAUGGCGUGCCUUUUGUAGAAUGAACCGGCGAGUUACGAUUUGAUGCAAGGUUAAGCAGUAAAUGUGGAGCCAGUAGCGAAAGCGAGUCUGAAUAGGGCGUUUAGUAUUUGGUCGUAGACCCGAAACCAGGUGAUCUACCCUUGGUCAGGUUGAAGUUCAGGUAACACUGAAUGGAGGACCGAACCGACUUACGUUGAAAAGUGAGCGGAUGAACUGAGGGUAGCGGAGAAAUUCCAAUCGAACCUGGAGAUAGCUGGUUCUCUCCGAAAUAGCUUUAGGGCUAGCCUCAAGUGAUGAUUAUUGGAGGUAGAGCACUGUUUGGACGAGGGGCCCCUCUCGGGUUACCGAAUUCAGACAAACUCCGAAUGCCAAUUAAUUUAACUUGGGAGUCAGAACAUGGGUGAUAAGGUCCGUGUUCGAAAGGGAAACAGCCCAGACCACCAGCUAAGGUCCCAAAAUAUAUGUUAAGUGGAAAAGGAUGUGGCGUUGCCCAGACAACUAGGAUGUUGGCUUAGAAGCAGCCAUCAUUUAAAGAGUGCGUAAUARCU
rnacentral:rRNA from 1 species